UGAACGCUAGCUACAGGCUUAACACAUGCAAGUCGAGGGGCAGCAUGGUCUUAGCUUGCUAAGGCCGAUGGCGACCGGCGCACGGGUGAGUAACACGUAUCCAACCUGCCGUCUACUCUUGGACAGCCUUCUGAAAGGAAGAUUAAUACAAGAUGGCAUCAUGAGUCCGCAUGUUCACAUGAUUAAAGGUAUUCCGGUAGACGAUGGGGAUGCGUUCCAUUAGAUAGUAGGCGGGGUAACGGCCCACCUAGUCUUCGAUGGAUAGGGGUUCUGAGAGGAAGGUCCCCCACAUUGGAACUGAGACACGGUCCAAACUCCUACGGGAGGCAGCAGUGAGGAAUAUUGGUCAAUGGGCGAGAGCCUGAACCAGCCAAGUAGCGUGAAGGAUGACUGCCCUAUGGGUUGUAAACUUCUUUUAUAAAGGAAUAAAGUCGGGUAUGGAUACCCGUUUGCAUGUACUUUAUGAAUAAGGAUCGGCUAACUCCGUGCCAGCAGCCGCGGUAAUACGGAGGAUCCGAGCGUUAUCCGGAUUUAUUGGGUUUAAAGGGAGCGUAGAUGGAUGUUUAAGUCAGUUGUGAAAGUUUGCGGCUCAACCGUAAAAUUGCAGUUGAUACUGGAUAUCUUGAGUGCAGUUGAGGCAGGCGGAAUUCGUGGUGUAGCGGUGAAAUGCUUAGAUAUCACGAAGAACUCCGAUUGCGAAGGCAGCCUGCUAAGCUGCAACUGACAUUGAGGCUCGAAAGUGUGGGUAUCAAACAGGAUUAGAUACCCUGGUAGUCCACACGGUAAACGAUGAAUACUCGCUGUUUGCGAUAUACAGCAAGCGGCCAAGCGAAAGCGUUAAGUAUUCCACCUGGGGAGUACGCCGGCAACGGUGAAGCUCAAAGGAAUUGACGGGGGCCCGCACAAGCGGAGGAACAUGUGGUUUAAUUCGAUGAUACGCGAGGAACCUUACCCGGGCUUAAAUUGCAGAUGAAUUACGGUGAAAGCCGUAAGCCGCAAGGCAUCUGUGAAGGUGCUGCAUGGUUGUCGUCAGCUCGUGCCGUGAGGUGUCGGCUUAAGUGCCAUAACGAGCGCAACCCUUGUUGUCAGUUACUAACAGGUUCCGCUGAGGACUCUGACAAGACUGCCAUCGUAAGAUGUGAGGAAGGUGGGGAUGACGUCAAAUCAGCACGGCCCUUACGUCCGGGGCUACACACGUGUUACAAUGGGGGGUACAGAGGGCCGCUACCACGCGAGUGGAUGCCAAUCCCCAAAACCUCUCUCAGUUCGGACUGGAGUCUGCAACCCGACUCCACGAAGCUGGAUUCGCUAGUAAUCGCGCAUCAGCCACGGCGCGGUGAAUACGUUCCCGGGCCUUGUACACACCGCCCGUCAAGCCAUGGGAGCCGGGGGUACCUGAAGUGCGUAACCGCGAGGAGCGCCCUAGGGUAAAACUGGUGACUGGGGCUAAGU
rnacentral:rRNA from 1 species